rnacentral:pre_miRNA from 12 species
CGCACAAGUCGGGGCACAAGACAGAGAGGCCAGGUCACGUCUCUGCAGUUACACAGCUCAUGAGUGCCUGCUGGGGUGGAACCUGGUCUGUCUGUCUGUCUAGCACCACAGCUCCGG